UUUAUUUUUAACUUCUCGUCAAGGAAAGCAAGAAAAAAGGAAAAUAUUCAGCCCGUUGCCCGUUCACUCGUUUCGUUUAAUCGUUGAACAUCGUGUGUUCUUCAUCGGGCAAUGCAGUGUUGCCAGCGCUUGAAAUUGAAGUUGAUUUGUAAACAAAAUAUCCGGUUACUCGUUCAUUGUUCCUUUACGAGAAUUUUGUCACAAUAAUCCAAAAAUGUCGGAAACUAUAGUUUUACGGCUAAAAGAGUAUUCUUAAAUACCAAAGGAUGAACUCUUCCGAAAUUUAUAAAACCAACAACUUAUGUAAAUUGUUACUACUUAACCAAUGUGUCAAUCAAAUCGCAAACAUGUAAUUUUACUUUACUCCAGUAUUUAUUUUUUGUUAAAAUAUUAUUUAAAAAAAUGUUUUUCUCCAUAUUCUCAAGCUCUGCCUCGUGGUGGGUGGAAAUGCAAGUGCAGGGAGGCCAUAUAGAAAUUGGUUCUAAGAAUGACGUAUCAUAGUGCAAGAAUUGACGAUUUAAUAAUCGUGAAUGCAAGAGAAAAACCUUCUACGCAAUUAGUCUUUUAAAACGUUGAUUUUACAAUCAACAUUAAAAGUUAUUAAUAUACC